CUCUUCCGGUGGCGACGCGGCCAAUAGCGAUGGCCUUGACUUCCGCCUUCGUGGCUUCUUCACUACCACUUGCGCCAGCCAGGGUGGCCGUCGUUUAUGAGGAAGGCUGAUUGACAAGGGUGAGGUGGCGCGGCGGAGGUUCCUUGAAAGACGGUGAUGAUCGAGAGCAUCUAUCGGAGCUAUUUUUGCCUGUUAUUUCGGAUUUUUUUAUUCGAUGAAAAGUGACC